rnacentral:lncRNA from 10 species
UGAAAGGUGACUGCGUUAAUGCAGUGGCUUGAAAAGGCAAUGAGGUGAAGCAAAGAUUUACAUUCCAAGGUAGGGAAAAACCUAGGCAUCAUUAAAGGCAGAGAAUGGGUAGGGUUUUUCUCAUGAAAGUCAAUUUUAACCAUAAAGAAUAUAUCUCAAAACACUGAGAAACACUAAACUUAUCUAUAUAAAUGCAGUAACUAGCCAACAUAUCAUUCCUUCCAGAUAACCCUGGGUCUAAUGCCAGGUAAAGUGCAUUCUUAGGAAGAUCACUAAGAGGUGAUACACCUCCAACUCCUUGCUGCCACUCUAGGAGUGAGAGGCUGGCCAAGUGGAGCAUUUUGGACAUUCAGAGGAGGUGGCUGAUUCUACCAGCCCAGGAUCAAGGCCAGAAAGCUUGCUCCUGGGAUUGGAGCAAGGUCAGUCAGGAAAUGAGUGUCAGGGGAUGGGGUGGGAGAUGAAUCAAAGGGAACACUCAGAGGCAGACAUUUCACAGACGUUUGAGUGGGUGUUUAUGUCACCACUUGGCAAAUCUCACGGCAGAGUCAAGACCCAGAGAUUCUGAGGUGGCAGUCUGUCUCAACUGAAUAAGCAAGAGACUGCCUUGCAUGAGAAACAGCCCCACUAUCAAUGCUUCUUAUACCCAUUAAACCAGCUAAAAGGACAGAGGCUUAUAGCUACACAAGCUAGUGCUUUCCCACUAUACAAACCUCCUGCACACCUGUGGGGGUAAAAGAGGAAGCAAAUUUGCAUAUCUCCUUGAUCAAUGCUAGAAGUGAAGGAAUCUGGGAAAAUCAAAGUUUCAUACUCCAAAGUUCCCAGUAUGACUCUAGCAGAAGUGAAACUAGAAUCCAGCAUUUUUUCUUGCCCUGCUAGAAGAGAUUUUCCCAUUAACUGUGCGAAUUCUCUGCUCUCUCUAAUGAGUGACCCCUAAUGCAACCAAUUUGGUUAUUUGACAUUGAUUAUGUUUUCAAUUUGAAUCAGAAGCUACUAAUCUAGUGUUAAAUCCUUAGGCAAUAAGUUUGUCUUUUCUAAGCAGGGUGGGCAAAAAUCCUCAUCUUCUUUGAAUGCCCAGAGCUAACAAUUAACUUUCUAUCUUUAUUUCUAACUCAAAUGUGCCAAAAAGAAAAAAUCAAAAACAUCCUCCCCGGAACGCAAAAUUCAAAAGCUAAAAAACAUCUUAAGAAUUAAUCUGUCUCCUAUUCUUUGGCUGGCAGGUUAAAAACGGAAUUUGCAUAAAUCCAUAGCAGUCAGCCCUCUCUUGCUUGUGAGGAUAAAAGAGGGCUUUCUGUGCUAAAGGGAAGAGGGCUGGCCAUGCUCUAACAAAGUGAUAAAAAGUGGUACAAGGAUGAGUUUAACAGAGUGCUUUAACUAGGAGUCUGGAGGUAAUCUUAAGAUAAACUAUCUACAGGUUAAUGAGGGAGUGAAAAAAAGUUAAGACUACCACCCACUGGCAUAUAUAGACACAGUCUGACCAUUGGAGGGAGGGGCAAGGAAAAAGACGAUUGACGUUCAGAUGGGAAGUUUACCUGGCAUUUAUUGACUCUGGCCCAGGCUAAAGAGCACUGUGACCUUCCAGUACUUUGUUCUGCCAGCUCCCUCCAGCCCACAUCAUAUAUCCUGAACUGACAAGUACCUAUAUAAGCUAACAUUGGCAUCUGUGUUGAUUGGUUGAUGCCAUUUUAUACCUCAUUCAAUAUUUUAAUAACACCCCUGGGUAUAUCCCAAACUACUCAUCAUCCACACUUAAAAGCUGAAUUUAUUUUCUUCUUUCCUAAAAAAUUUCCUCUUAGUGCUUUCUUUCCUCUAUGCCAUCUCCAUGUUCUUGAUCACCCAGUUAGCCUCAGUUAGCUUUUGACUCCGGUCCCACAAUUGCCUGCCUUCCUUUAAAAUCCAAGCUGUUCCCAAAGCCAUUGGAAUCCAUCAAGCCUAUAUUGACAUGCUGCAGGGCACCAUCAGUAAUAUACCAGAGAGGCAGGGUUGGAGAGAGAAACAAAGGCAAGAAGAGGUCUAGCUGCUGGUGGCAGAAGUUCAGCCUGCUGAACAAGUAUGAGAUCAAGGGGUGCAGGGUACUCCAGCUAUAAACCAGGUAGUGAGUGGGUUGGCAGGGAGGGACUAGGAAUUGAGCCAUCAGUUAUCUAGAGCAGGCAAAACUUGAGAGUUGUCACAUGGUUGGUCACAUGGUUCAUGGUUGGUCUGUGGACAAGUGGCAGGGCUGACACCAGCAGAGUUCAGCCAGGGUCCCGACAAUCAUAAGGGAAGGGUGCAGUAAGACAGCGCAGACCAACAGCCUUUGGAUAUGAUUGUGUUACUCAGCAAUUAGCACAAGAGAAACUCAGGAAUAGGGGUGAAGGCAGGUCAGUUUUAAGAACCAUGUUAUAAGGCAGGGAAGUUAGAGUCCAAGAAUAAGAAUGAAUUUGGCCAGGCGCAGUGGCUCACGCCUGUAAUCCCAGCACUUUGGGAGGCCGAGGCAGGUAGAUCACAAGGUCAGGAGAUUGAGACCAUCCUGGCUAACACGGUGAAACACCGUCUCUACUAAAAACAUAAAAAAUUAGCCGGGCGAGGUGGCGGGCACCUGUAGUCCCAGCUACUCGGGAGGCUGAGGCAGGAGAAUGGCGUGAACCCGGGAGGCGGAGCUUGCAGUGUGCCGAGAGGGGCGCCACUGCACUCCAGCCUGGGCUAAAGAGCAAGACUCCGUCUCAAAAAAAACAAAAAGAAUGGACCUUUAGUGAUCCGAAUUUAACCGUUUAAGGAAUAUUUACCAACUACCCACUAUGGGUCCUCACAGUGGAGAGUUUAAAUAUAAGUGCAAUUCCGUGUGAUAAGUGCCAAAUCCAGAUAAGAUUCAGAUGCACCCAAAAGAGGAGAUAGUCAAGCUCUGCGACAUGGAGGUAUUAUGUGAGGCUGCAAAGAGGAGACAAUGUUCAACCAUGUUCUGGAAUUAUGAGUAAGCCCCAGCAAUGAGGGGAAAGAACUUCAGAUGGAGGGCAUAGCAAAAUGCUGCAGAUGGGCUGUCUAGAGAACUCCAAGUGUUCACACCCAUAGCACUAGCAGUGAGAAUGGCUGAGGGUACAGCCAUCAGAUGGUAUCAUUAGUGGGUAAGCAUCUCCAGUCUCUGGCUGGAAGUUGCCCUGGAUAUUCAAGCAUGGCUGGGCUUGCAGAUCAAAUUUGAGUGAGGUGGAGAGGAAUGCAAGAUAUAUUUAACAUAUAUCAGGCUUAAUGUUUUUGUACCCGUCUCAUCUCCCUUCUCCUGAACACUACUCCAAUCCAUACCAGCAAAACCUCACAAGCUUAUCUAAACUACUGCCAUGAUUCUUUAACCAGUUUCCCCAAUUAGACUCCUCCACUUCCUUCCUUCCUACACAUAGUUUCGUGAUAAAUCUCCCUAAAGCACAAUUUCGAACAUGCUACUCCCCUGGGGGAAAAAAAAUCCUUUCAAUGGCUUGAAAAGAUCCCUAUCUUGGGAGAAUUGACCUUCUUAUUUGCAUUUUGUUUGCACAGAUCUUAUUUGCAUUUUGUUUGCACAUUUGAAGGACUACAUUAAAUAUUUACUUGACUCACAUUAUGAAAACAAUACAAAAAUUCACAGGACACAGGGCAGCAUUGACAACAGAGGUGACAGGUGAAAGGUGGAGAGAAGAAUGGUUAGGCAGAGCUGAAACCACAGACUGAUGAGGCCUGAUCAUCCUCUGAUCUUCCAUCUCUUAGAAUCUCUUUUCUCACUCGAUCUUUGGAAGAGUGAACACAGAACCAAGCAGCCAGAGCAGACGUGAAUGACAUCUUUGUAGCUUUUGUCAUACAGUGUCCUCUGUGACACUGCCUUCUUUUUUCAGUGGUUUUGUUUAUAUUGCUUGCUUGUUUAAUGGCCUAGAUCUUAUAUUUUCUAAAUUUAAUGAGUAUCUCCAAGUACAGUUUUUCUGUGCCAAAUUUAUUAUUGUUUUCAUAUGCACGUGGAAGAAAAUGCAUUUUGCUUGUUAAAUCUCACAGGCACAUAAAAAUAGGUUUUGAAAAAUAUGACGAUGAAAUAAAAGAUAACAAGGAGGUUAGCUAUAAUUUUUAUCUCAACAUUUAAAACUUUGAGCCAAUGAGGCUUUAAUUCAAAAAUGGAAAGAAGUUUCUAAUUCCAAAAUUUUCCAUUUUUUAAUGUUCAGUGUUCAUAUACACAAACAGUAACUACAAUAAUAUAUGAUUAUAGAAAGUGAAAAGUUACCUCUGUGAAGGAGUAUCAGUCUAAACUGAAAAGCAACUUUUGGUAUUAUAAAAACCAAAAGGAAAGUAGACAGGUAAGAUCAAUAUACCUUCUAAUUUAUUUUUUACAAGUGGCUCCUACAAGUUUCCAAAAAUAGUAUUGUAUAAGUUCAUAGUUACCACUUUUUUUCUAAAUACAUAUCCCUCCCAUCAUAGUGUAGUCUGAAGGUCUGGGCUCAAUUUCUGAUAAUGAUUGUAGCAGUGAAAACAGUUUUCCUUUUUAAGUAAAAGACCUUUUUAUAUAUGGCACCAUUUUCAAAGGACAUAAAUAGCUCUGUCUGUUGAAAAUCUGCCUUUAAAUUCUAUGCCACUCACAUGACUGAAGAGACUAUAAUUUAUAGGCCAUAUUCAGAGAAAUAAACUUGUCCUAAACAUCUGUCUAUCUCUAAAGCUAAAAGCUUAAAAACCACUGUUGACCCCAAACCUGAGAUUUUGUUACAAAUGACACAGGAAUUUGGCACAGGGAGGAAGCAGGGUCAGGCUGCUGAUCAGGGCUGGCAGAGCGAAUUCGUCCAGCUUCCAUCAGAUAGAGCCAAUUUCCAAGUGCAGCUGACCACAGCUGUGCUCUCUGCCACAUCAGGGAAAGUUCGGAGAGUAGAGCUUACUCUCUCAUGAAAGCACUCAGUCACAAUCCCAGGGGUCACCUUCUCAAGGGUUGGAACACAAGGUAGGAUGUAACAGAAGGGCCAACAGAGAGUGACUGGGGCAAAAAGGGCAUUUAUCAUUUCACAGAGCAACAAGUCUGGAAGCAAGGGCAGUUCUACAACAGAAGCAAGAGCUUCACAGUGACACUAAGGACCAGGGCUCCUUUCCUUUUUCCAGUCUCCUCUACUCAGAAUUUUGUUUUUGUCCUCAGCAUUUUGCUCUAGUGAUUACAAAAUGGCUGCCUCAGUUCCAGGGUAUUGUAUCUUCACACAAUCACUCUGAAAUGCAGAAGAAAGACACAUUCUACAUGCGUCUCUUUAUCUGGGAGGAAGAGCCUUCCCAGCAGCCCCAGCCAGCUGCGUUUCAGGUCCCUUAAGACCAGAUUGGGUACAAACUCAAGCUCUGGCUGUACAGGAGGAAAGCAAUAUUGGGCAUUUUCUUAUCUUGCAUUCUUGCCUGUCAAAGUCUGACAGCAAGAUCAAGGUGGUAGCUGGGCACAGAACAGGAGCAGCUGCAGGGUGUAAUUGGGUAGGCGAUCAACAGUGUCACUUACAGAAAGUUAACAGCUUUAACGGCAGCCCUUUUUAAGCAUAAACAUUUAAAGUGUGCUCCUUUAUAACUCCAUGUAACAUUCCUUACCAGCAUGCAUUGCUAGCUUCACACACUUAAUAAAUGAAAGGGCAUAUCUCUCUUCUAGAUGAUAAUGAGGACAGAUGCAUAAAAUAUUGGCAUUUGCAAAAUAUUUUUUCCAAGUAAUGAUCAAUAAAACUGGAAAUUUCCGCAUGAUUGAUAUUUUCUUAGAUAACAAUUCUUCAAGACCUUAUCUAGAUACUUAAACCCUAUGGCACAAUAUCCUCAUACGUAAAAAUGGGUAUAGCAUGAAUAACAUUGUAGAGAGGGCUAUAUAUAUAUACUUACUGUUAACAAAAUGAAUUUUUCUGACAUUUUUUAAAAACUUGUAUAAAUAAGGAUGUCAAUUAUUGCAUCUCUCCCCAAGGGCAGAGUUUGCCUGAUGGUUAGUUAUCAGGGGAGGGCCCCAGUUGGUCUGUGGCAGAAAGGGUACAAUAAUCACCACACCAUUUCACUAGGUUCUGUCAAUAUUUGUUUGAUUUCCCAAAGCUACAGUACUGCCUAUUAACAGCUCAAUUGCACAAAAAAGUUAAUCAACAUUUGCUACAGAAAUACUGUGCUAGCUUUCAUAACCUACUUUUAAGAUGAAACAUAGGUUCAUAAGAGGGGAGAAUUCAUUAGGCUCUUUUUAGAAAUUUUGACUCUACUGUGAAUUGUUUUAUGUACUUGAUAAAUAGGCCCACACAAAUAAGUGGCCAUUGAGACAUGUCACUUGACAAUAUCAAAAAACUUGCUCCCCACCCUCAACCUCACCCCCAUCUGUCCUUACUCACAAACAGUACCCUCUCUUCACAGCUGUUUGAAAUGAUCAGUGAACUCUUCCCUAUGUGCAUGGAGGCAGUAGAGGAAAGGGAACUAGAAGCUGCAGAAAACAAUGGUUAAAGGCCAGGCAUGGUGGCUUCUGCCUGAACUCCCAGCACUUUGGGAGGCCAAGGUGGGAGGAUCCUUUGAGCUCAGGCAUUUGAGACCAGCCUGGGCAAUAUAAAAAGGUCUCGUGUCUACUAAAAUUACAAAAAUUAGCUGGGUGUGGUGGUACAUGCCUGUAGUCCCAGCUACUCAGGAGGCUGAAGCGGAAGGAUCACCUGAGCCCAGGAGGUAGAGGCUGCAGUGAGCCAAGAUGGCACCACUGUACUCCAGCCUGGGUGACAGAGCAAGACUCUGUCUCAAAAAAAAAAAAAAAAAAAAGAAAAGAAAAGAAAAAAAGAAAGAAAGAAAAAGAAAAAACAACAAGAAAACAAUGGUUAAAAAGCAAAUUUGUUGCCUGGGAAAAUCACUAAUAUCCAGUGUUCUGUUAUCACAUAGCAGAAAACAAGCCCUUCAGUUAGCGAAACUGGGUUGAGGGAGAGCAAGGCAAGCAGCAAGAGAAGGUGCUAGGGAAAGAGAACUGGAGAAUGGUGCAGGCACUGCCUGGGAGCUUGUCAGAAAUGCAGAGUCUUGGGCUUCUCCCCAGACCCACUGAAUCAGGGCAUGUAUUUUAACAAGACCCUCAGGUGAUUCCUGCACAGGUUAAAACUUGAGAAGCACUGCACAAAGGCAGGAGGCAGUAAUUCCAAGGAAUAAACCCUGCCAGAGUGUCAUGCUUGGAGCCCUGACAGCUACCUGGGAGCAGUCUCAGCUGAGGUGAGAGGGACGUUAGGCAUUGGAACAGGCAAGCAUAGGUGCCAAAAGGGUAACAGUGGUAAUUGUGGUUACAGUCAGCUUUAACGAAACACUGACAGUGUGACAGGCACUACUGUACUACUUUCCAUGCAUUGUUUCUGAUUUCAUAAUAACCCUGCAACACAGGUAUCAUAAAGAAACGGAAACUCAGGGAGGUUAGGUAACUUGCCCUAGGCUCAGGCCAGCAAGUAACUGAAUCUGGAUUCACUCCUGAGUUUUGGAAUCAGAGAAAUCCAAGCUCAAAUCCUCUGUCUACUUCUUAUUAGAAAUAUAAUUUUGUUGAGGUCGCUUCCAAGAUGGCCGAAUAAGAACAGCUCCAGUCUACAGCUCCCAGCGAGACUGACACAGAAGAUGGGCGAUUUCUGCAUUUCCAACUGAGGCUACCAUAAGCCAUGAAUCAAUGACCAGUAUGGUGUCAUUUCUCACAAGCCAGAAUAGAUGGGUCCAGAAAUCAUCAAAGGGUAAGAAGUAGAAUUAACUUCUUUCAAUAUCAUACCCACUCAGAUUAUUUGAUGCCUGUUCCCCCCAGUUUUGAACUUUGCAGGUUUGGAGGUUUUAGAGGAAUACUUCCACCCAAAAGACACAGCAAUGAUGCCACUGAAUUGGAAGUUGGAAAUGUUACCUGGUCAUUUUGAGCUCCUUGUGCCACCAUAUCAGAAGCCAAAGAAAGGGGCCACACUAUUGACUGGAGCAAUUGAUCCUGAGUACCAACACAAAGUUGUGGCUAUAAAAUGAAAGCAGAAAGGAAAAUAUACAUGGAACCCAGAGUAUUCUUUCAGGUGCCUCUUAGUACUUCCAUUACAAUAGCAAAAGUUAUUGGAAAAGUAUAACAAGUGAAGGAAGGCAUGACCACAAAAAAUACACUUUAAUAAUGAAAAUUUGCAUCACCCCACCAGGUAAAGGGUUUAGACCAGUUGAAAUGCUGGCUGGGGGCAAUGAAAACACAAGAUGUUUAAUAGAAGAAAGAAGUUAUAAAUAUCACUACAGCCUUAUAAAACUAGGACUACAACAACAAUGCAUAUUUUCUUCCUUGUUAUAUAAAUACAAUAUGAUAUACUGCCUGAUGUUAUGUUAUUAUAUAGGUUAUAUUUUUAUCUUCUAUGAUAUGUAUUAUAGGCAAUAUAGUG